rnacentral:lncRNA from 1 species
CACUGGGCGGGCUGGAGACUCCAGGAGAAUCAGGACUGCACACACUGGAAGGAUGCCUUUAUUGUAUCCAUUUCUGUAUUCGUACCAGCACCUCGCAAAAUAAUUUUCUGUAUGUUAUAGAAAUUCAAAGAAGACAAACUCUAGCCAAGAGCAGUGUGAAGAAAAGAAGACGCUAUAUUAAUCACAGUCCAGGGAUGCCUUCUGGCUUCCUGGCAGCAAUUCCGGCCUGAGAUUCCUUCUCUGUGCAUACUUCCUGUCAACACUGUGUGAUGUCAAGCUGUAGCCAUCACAAAAGUACUGUGAACACCUGUAAAUCCCAACUAUCAAAAAUCACACCCAGGAAUCCAAAUUAGCAUUAUUAUGUCAAAAGAAAAACCUGAUUUCCU